rnacentral:rRNA from 1 species
UACGAAGGGUCCAAGCGUUAUCCGGAUUUAUUGGGUUUAAAGGGUGCGUAGGCGGCUUAUUAAGUCAGUGGUGAAAGACUUCAGCUUAACUGAAGAACUGCCAUUGAUACUGAUGAGCUUGAGUACAGUUGAGGUGGGCGGAAUGUGUCAUGUAGCGGUGAAAUGCUUAGAUAUGACACAGAACACCGAUUGCGAAGGCAGCUCGCUAAACUGUAACUGACGCUGAGGCACGAAAGCGUGGGGAGCGAACAGG